GACAGAUUCUUGGGCGCUGUUGCGCCCUUUUUAUUUAAAAAGAAUCUUGGGGACCAUUUUAUCUUAUUUUCGAAACUUCAGGGACCAAAGCUGCAAUUUUCCUUAGGCUUUAAUGUUACAAACAGCAGCUGGGCAGAAUUCAGAGAUAAGAAUUCUGGGACGCAGCUUCUGCCUGGGAGGAUUCUGUUUCUUCUUUCUUUCAUUUUCUUUUCUUUUCUUUUCUUUUGCUUGGUAUUUUGGAGAUUCAAUAUAGAGGAUCAAGGAGAUUACAUCAAGGAUUUGACAAAGCUCUUGGAGAAUCAAGUCCAUGCUUCAAAAAAGGAUUUUAUCUAUAAACUUGUAUUUUCACAAUUAUUUUGUCAUAUUUGUAAUGUAUUGCUAUAAACAUUCUCCCUUCCAUCAUAUGUAUAAAAUGGGCUAAAUAUUUCGUUGGAAUUUAUGGUAGUAGUUUGACCUAGGUUUAAUUGAUUUUCAAUAUUUG
rnacentral:lncRNA from 1 species